rnacentral:rRNA from 1 species
GGGGGGCCUACGGGAGGCAGCAGUGGGGAAUAUUGCACAAUGGGCGAAAGCCUGAUGCAGCAACGCCGCGUGAAGGAAGAAGGGUUUCGGCUCGUAAACUUCUAUCAACAGGAACGAAAAAAAUGACGGUACCUGAAUAAGAAGCCCCGUCUAACUACGUGCCAGCAGCCGCGGUAAUACGUAGGGGGCAAGCGUUAUCCGGAAUUACUGGGUGUAAAGGGAGAGUAGGCGGCAUGGUAAGUUAGAUGUGAAAGCCCGAGGCUUAACCUCGGGAUUGCAUUUAAAACUAUCAAGCUAGAGUACAGGAGAGGUAAGUAGAAUUCCUAGUGUAGCGGAGAAAUGUGUAGAUAUUAGGAAGAACACCAGUGGAGAAGGCGACUUUCUGGACUGAAACUCACGGUGAGGCUAGAAAGCGUGGGGAACGAACAGGAUUAGAUACCCUGGUAGU